GAGAAGAGCGAAUAACAGUGGCAAGAGGUUAUUAUGAGCUAUAACAGUCAGAAUUAUUGUUGGAGAAAGCUUUGGAAUCCCGGUCAACCUUUCAUAUUUAACACAGUGGAUUAUCAGUUUGUGCCUUUGAUAGGGGUGAUUGGAUGUACAAGUUACUUACCAGCUUUAGUAAUGAGGAAAUUUGAUUGUAUCCAGUUCAUCCUGCUAAUCAAAGAAUUUUCCAAAGUUCAUUUCUACCAUGAAACUAGGAAAAUAGAUGAAUUGAAGACCUUACGCAAAUCUUGGGAAAGAGUAACCUUGAUGGACCGUUCACCUAAAAAGCCUAGCACGACAGAAGGCUAUCCUAUGUGGAGGGAAAAGAGAGAUAAAGGGUAUGAUAUUCCCAAUUUGAUGGGUCCAAAGAAUAAAUUACCACAGGUAAUAUAUGAAGAAGCUAGAGCUA
rnacentral:misc_RNA from 1 species